AGUACCCUACAGUAAAGUGAUGCUCUUAUUUUAGUAAUUAAAAUGAUUCUCUUUUCUCCUUCUUGAUCAGCUGGAGAUAAUGAUGAUAAUAAUAAUUAUGGUGGUGAUGAUGGUGAUGAUGGUGAUGAUGAUGAAGGUCAGGACAGACUGUCUGUAGGACUGAAGCCAACUGAAGAUGCACUAAAUCAAUGGAAUUACCUCCGCCAAUGGCUGGUGAUGAUGAUGAUGAUGAUGGUGAUGAUGGUCAGAACAGACUGGUUGCAGGACUGACUCCAGCUAAACAAAGCUGGAAUUCCAGGAAUGUCUCCACUCCCAAUCUGGCUUUGAUGAGCUUUGAUGAGUAAAGAAGUGAAAAUUCAGCGAAAGAUCCAUUACUCACCUGCAGUGCCUCGCACCAAU
rnacentral:lncRNA from 1 species